rnacentral:rRNA from 1 species
GCAUAUCAAUAAGCGGAGGAAAAGGCCCGCGCUGUGGAACUGAAACAAUAGGUCCUAGAAAGGAAAAAAGGCAAUACCCAAGAAUUCUCCCCCUCCCCCAAUAGGGCCGAUUCACACCUAUACGGUCCGUCUCUGUACGGCUUUUGUACAUUGAUUAUUUUUACAUAGAUAUCACUGGUGCUGUUCUCACUAUUCGUUCCGUAUACCGUCUUGAAACACGGACC